rnacentral:rRNA from 1 species
AUUAGUUUUUUAAUUGAAGGCUAGAAUGAAUGGUUGGACAAGAAAUAAUCUGUCUUAAUUAAAUAAAUUGAAUUUAACUUUUAAGUGAAAAGGCUUAAAUAAUCUAAAGGGACGAUAAGACCCUAUAAAACUUUAUAUUUAAUAAUAGUAAUUAAUUUUAUUUUAAGAGUAUUAUUUGAAAGUAUUUGGUUGGGGUGACAAGGAUAAAAUAUAAAAUAACUGUCUUUUUUUAUUACAAUAAUAUUUGGUUUAAUGAUCCUAAAAUGGAUUAAAGAUUAAGUUACUUUAGGGAUAACAGCGUAAUUUUCUUUAAGAGUUCUUAUCGACAAGAAAGUUUGUGACCUCGAUGUUGAAUUAAAAG